GUGGCGUUUUGAGUCACGUAAAACAGGGUAGCGGUAAAGCCAAAGAAGACAACAACUUUCUAAUCAGCCGUGGGCUGACUGCACGAGCUUGGCCAGAGACGACAACCCAUCUUGAGCCCUUUUACUGCCGCCCGUGUCAUCCGGACAUUCAGACUGGAGGACAGACGCGGAGUACUGGAAAUGGAUGCUCAUGCAAUCCACCUAGCAAAGACCAGAAGAAGGGGAAGAGACGUCAUUGGCCACACAGCCGUUGAAGAUGUUCCUGGCCAACCUGGUGGGAAUAUCACCGUCUCCAAUAUGCAAGGCAUCGCAGACUCCGCAACACUCUCCAACCGGCAGAGCGUAUGAAUGAUGCAGGCCAUCAAAGAAACCG